GCGGAAGUAAGGGUAGAGGAUCCGAAGAAAAACUAGGAGACGGACUGUAGAUGGGGCGGGGUGGAGUUGCGGGGAGCGCGGAAUGUGGAACGUAGUUGGACGCGCUCACUGUUGCUAAGAAAUGUUUUCUUGUUGACACAAAUGAAGUCACCAUUCUAUAAACAUGAUUAGCAGAAUGCUAUCAAGUGAGAACCUCAAGAAACGUCAUGCAAAGUCAAUGAAAAAAGCAUGGUGUGAGUGUAUGGCAGUGCUGCGUUGAUCCUGAAGGGUCUCACUAUGCAGUUCAGGCUGGUCAUGAGCUCACUUUGUAGCCCAAGCUGGUCUAGAACUUACGGUGAUCCUCCUGCUUCAGCCUCCCAAGUACUGGGAUUACAAGAGUGUGCCAUCACACCCAGCUAGUUUUUAUUUUUUUUUACUUUAUGGAAAAAAGGCUGCCUUGCCCAGGAAGCCACUUGAACCAGUGAACUUCCUAGAUCCUGAGUAUAAAAAGAAAGAAGGAAGAAAAAGGAGAAGAAAUUCGGGAAGAAAUGAUUCAUCCUAGUGAUCCUGUGCUGAUGAACUUGUGCUUUGUUAGAAAAUGUAAGAUCAACUGGAAGCCAAUAAACCAACUGGCACAUGUCACAUUCUGGUUAGUUUGGGAGAUGGAAGCAACAAGCCUGUUCUCAACAUUGUUCAGUUCAUCACUAUAAGAAUAAAGAUCUGAUGGCUAAGUUCCAGGAUAGAUCUCUAAACUGGAAGCAUAAAAAAUGUUUGUAUCUACAAGGGCAUACAUUUUCAUGCUGUAUUUUGGCUCUUUACUUUUCCAUAAGGCUUUUACAUUCAUGUGAUCACCUUGAAAAAUCUGUGCUAAGCACAGCAGACUUAUGAAUACUUUCAGUUCAUCUAGUAAGGUGCCACAAUAAAUACAUUUUUGAAUAUGGCUAUUAGUGCAUACCGAAUGGCCUUUGUGUAUUUCAUAGCCUCUUGUAACGUUUUUUCUGUUACAGUUUUCAGCAUUGAAUGGCAGUGUUGCCGGUCUGUCCAAUACAUUUCAUUUCUGUCAAGACCUUCAUUAUAUUUUCAGACUUAGUUUUGACUUUGGAUUAUUCCUUUUGUUUGUGGAUAUUUUGCAAAAUUCUGACUAGUCAAAUAUAUACUUUUGUUACUGUUUUCUUCAUAAUCUAAAUCAAGGAGGUCUGCCUUCCCUGUGCGUCAGCUGAUUCUUGUUUGUCACUGUCACAGAAACUUUGGCUCACAUAUCCAACGUCAAUGUCAUCAUCAUCAUCAUCAUCCACCCACACCACUCUUCUAUUAUGAAAGCAUGUGUUUUACCAUAAUUAAUCAUCUUCAUUAUCUAUCUGACACAAGUAAUCUGAUAUUUCACUUUUGUCUUCCUCCAAAAUUUGCAAAUAUGGUUUUUAAUAUGCUAUUGUACUGAACUGGGCUACUUGUACCAGAAAAAUGAAAGCAAAACACUUUUAAAAAAAUAAAUUCUGCAAUGGCGCA